rnacentral:rRNA from 1 species
CCUACGGGGGGCAGCAGUGGGGAAUAUUGGGCAAUGGGCGCAAGCCUGACCCAGCAACGCCGCGUGAAGGAAGAAGGCUUUCGGGUUGUAAACUUCUUUUGUCAGGGAAGAGUAGAAGACGGUACCUGACGAAUAAGCCACGGCUAACUACGUGCCAGCAGCCGCGGUAAUACGUAGGUGGCAAGCGUUGUCCGGAUUUACUGGGUGUAAAGGGCGUGUAGCCGGGUUGACAAGUCAGAUGUGAAAUCCUGCGGCUUAACCGCAGAACUGCAUUUGAAACUGUUGAUCUUGAGUGAAGUAGAGGCAGGCGGAAUUCCUAGUGUAGCGGUGAAAUGCGUAGAUAUUAGGAGGAACACCAGUGGCGAAGGCGGCCUGCUGGGCUUUAACUGACGCUGAGGCUCGAAAGCGUGGGGAGCAAACAGGAUUAGAUACCCCAGUAGUC